UGGCUCAGAUUGAACGCUGGCGGCAGGCUUAACACAUGCAAGUCGAGCGGAGAUGAGGUGCUUGCACCUUAUCUUAGCGGCGGACGGGUGAGUAAUGCUUAGGAAUCUGCCUAUUAGUGGGGGACAACAUUCCGAAAGGAAUGCUAAUACCGCAUACGCCCUACGGGGGAAAGCAGGGGAUCUUCGGACCUUGCGCUAAUAGAUGAGCCUAAGUCGGAUUAGCUAGUUGGUGGGGUAAAGGCCUACCAAGGCGACGAUCUGUAGCGGGUCUGAGAGGAUGAUCCGCCACACUGGGACUGAGACACGGCCCAGACUCCUACGGGAGGCAGCAGUGGGGAAUAUUGGACAAUGGGCGGAAGCCUGAUCCAGCCAUGCCGCGUGUGUGAAGAAGGCCUUUUGGUUGUAAAGCACUUUAAGCGAGGAGGAGGCUACUUAGAUUAAUACUCUAGGAUAGUGGACGUUACUCGCAGAAUAAGCACCGGCUAACUCUGUGCCAGCAGCCGCGGUAAUACAGAGGGUGCGAGCGUUAAUCGGAUUUACUGGGCGUAAAGCGUGCGUAGGCGGCUGAUUAAGUCGGAUGUGAAAUCCCUGAGCUUAACUUAGGAAUUGCAUUCGAUACUGGUCAGCUAGAGUAUGGGAGAGGAUGGUAGAAUUCCAGGUGUAGCGGUGAAAUGCGUAGAGAUCUGGAGGAAUACCGAUGGCGAAGGCAGCCAUCUGGCCUAAUACUGACGCUGAGGUACGAAAGCAUGGGGAGCAAACAGGAUUAGAUACCCUGGUAGUCCAUGCCGUAAACGAUGUCUACUAGCCGUUGGGGCCUUUGAGGCUUUAGUGGCGCAGCUAACGCGAUAAGUAGACCGCCUGGGGAGUACGGUCGCAAGACUAAAACUCAAAUGAAUUGACGGGGGCCCGCACAAGCGGUGGAGCAUGUGGUUUAAUUCGAUGCAACGCGAAGAACCUUACCUGGCCUUGACAUAGUAAGAACUUUCCAGAGAUGGAUUGGUGCCUUCGGGAACUUACAUACAGGUGCUGCAUGGCUGUCGUCAGCUCGUGUCGUGAGAUGUUGGGUUAAGUCCCGCAACGAGCGCAACCCUUUUCCUUAUUUGCCAGCGAGUAAUGUCGGGAACUUUAAGGAUACUGCCAGUGACAAACUGGAGGAAGGCGGGGACGACGUCAAGUCAUCAUGGCCCUUACGGCCAGGGCUACACACGUGCUACAAUGGUCGGUACAAAGGGUUGCUACCUAGCGAUAGGAUGCUAAUCUCAAAAAGCCGAUCGUAGUCCGGAUUGGAGUCUGCAACUCGACUCCAUGAAGUCGGAAUCGCUAGUAAUCGCGGAUCAGAAUGCCGCGGUGAAUACGUUCCCGGGCCUUGUACACACCGCCCGUCACACCAUGGGAGUUUGUGCACCAGAAGUAGGUAGUCUAACCGCAAGGAGGACGCU
rnacentral:rRNA from 1 species